GGUGAACCUGCGGAAGGAUCAUUAGUGAAUUGUUAGGAGGUUGUUGCUGGCUCCUAUGGGGGCAUGUGCACACCUUUUACCUUUCUUUCCACCUGUGCACGCUUUGUAGGAAGGUUUCCUAUGAUUUUACAUACUCAUUAACAUUAUAUUGGUUGGUUGGCUUUUAAUAUAAAUACAACUUUCAACAAUGGAUCUCUUGGUUCUCGCAUCGAUGAAGAACGCAGCGAAAUGCGAUAAGUAAUGUGAAUUGCAGAUCUCAGUGAAUCAUCGAAUCUUUGAACGCACCUUGCGCCCUUUGGUAUUCCAAAGGGCAUGCCUGUUUGAGUGUCAUUUAAUUCUCAAAGCUCUGCUUUGGACUUGAAGAUUGCUGGCUUACACCAGAGUCGGCUUCUUUGAAAUGCAUUAGUAGGAUCAUCAUGCUGGAUCGAUACAGGUGUGAUAAGUUAUCACCAUCUGAGAUUAGGCAAGAAAACCUGCUCAUAACAAACCCCCCCUUUUUGACUUUUGACCUCAAAUCAGGUAAGACUACCCGCUGAACUU
rnacentral:sRNA from 1 species